GACCCAAGGCGGAGGGGCCUGAAGCCCUAUUAUCCAAUCACUGGUGCUGGGGUGAAAACUGUUCAAUCAGGCGCUGAACUGCAGAGGAGGGUGCGGUCUUCAUGCACCCGGUGGGGCCUUUGUUUUCCGCAUUUGCGCUGCCUGCUCCAGGUGACUUCUGGUCUCCAUUGCUUUGUCUUCUUCACGCCUAGAGGCCCUAAGUGGCUGUGCAGCAGCCUCUUGUGACUCUGUGACCUGCACGUACUGAGAAAUUUAUGAGGAAGACACCAGGACAUGAAAACAGAUGGAAUGGCCAGAACACUGAAGAUCAACUCAAAAAUUCUGGAAGUAAUCUAAGGCACCUCGUAUCUCACCGUGGAAACAAGCCAUAUGAAUGUGAAGAAAAUAGACAGAAGCCAGAUAAACCUUAACAAUGUCAGAAAGCCAUCAUUUUGUUCACACAUCUUCAAGGACACAUGGCAUUGCACACUAGAAAUGGACCUUAUAAAUGUACCAUAUGUGAAAAAGCCUUUGAUUUUCCCAAUGUACCUUAUAUACAUCAGAGAAAUCACACCAAACAGAAAGCCUAUAAGUGUAAACAAUGUGGUAGAGCCUUCAGCCACUUGGAUUCUUUUGAGAAAUGUAAAAUAACUCACACUGGGACAAAACUCUAUAAAUGGAAGGUAUGUGGUAAGGCCUUCAGAUAUUUCAGUUACCUUUGUAACCAUGAAAUCACUCAUACUGCAGAGAAACACUAUGAAUGUAGACAAUUUGGUGAAGCCUUUAGUUAUUCCAGUAACUGCUCUAAACAUGAAAGAACUCAUACUAGAGGAAAACAUGAAUGUAAUGAAUGUGAAAUCACAUUUUAUUCCCUCAGUUCCUUUCAAGCACAUAAAAAACUCACAUUGUUAAAAAAUGCUAUGCAUGUACAAAAUGUGAAAAAGCCUUCACUUAUUCCAACUCCCUUCAGAAACAUGAAAAUCUCAUACUGGAGAGAAACCCUUUAGAUGUAAGAAAUGUGGUCAUGGUUUCAGUUAUUCCUCUUACCUUCGAUAUCAUGAGAGAACUCACACUGGAGAAAAACCCUAUGAAUGUAAAAAAUGUGGUAAAGCCUUCGGAUAUAGUAGUUCCCUAUGAAAACAUGACAGAACUCAUACUGGAGAGAAACCCUAUGAGUGUAAGGAUUAUAGGAAAACGUUUAGUUAUGCCAAUCAUCUUCGUAGCCAUCAAAGAACUCACACCAGAGAGAAACCCUAUGAGUAAGAUUGUGGGAAAGCCUUCAGAUCUUCCAGUUAUUGUCAACAACAUAAAAGGACUCACACUGGAGAAAAACCCUAUGAAUGUAAGAAAUGUGGUAAAACCUUCAGAUUUUAUAGUUCUCUUCCAAAACAUAAAAGAACUCAUACUGAAUAGAAACCCAAUUAAUGUAAGCAAUGUGGAAAAGCAUUUAAUUUUUUCAGUUGAUUUUCUCAGUUAAUUUUCUCAUUUGAGAAUGUUUUCUUGUACUUAUAAUUUAUUUAGGAUUUUAUUUUUAAGGAUUGUUGAAGUUUUUAAAAUAUUUUUUGUUGGGAUGAUCCUUGUUUUUUAAAGUUACUCUGGCUGGGUAUUGUGGCUCACACCUAUAAUCCCAGCACUUUGGGAGGCCAAGGUGGGUGGAUUUUUUGAGGCCAAGAGUACAAGGUCAGCCUGGCCAAUAUAGCAAAACCUCGACUCUGCUAAAAAUACAAAAUAAUUAGCUGAGUAUGGUGGUGCAUGCCUGUAAUCACAGCUACUUGGGAGGCUGAGACAUGAGAACUGCUUGAACCCAGGAGGCAGAGGUUGCAGUGAGAUGAGAUAAUGCCACUUGCACUUCAGCCUGGGCAACAGAGGGAAACUGUCUCAAAAAAACAAAAAAUGUUAUUCUAUUAAUUGACUUUCAGAUUUGACACCAAUAUUCUUUUUCUUGGUUAAAUCUUGGUAAUAAAGUGCAAAUCUUUUUAUAUAUUGGUAGCUGGAGUUUAAUAUUUUGUGGAGACUUUUUGCAUGUAUAUUAUAAGAUUUGUGUACCCCAGUAUAGCAUAUAGUGUAUAUUUAGUGUAUAAACAGUGGACAUACAUGUGUGAAUAUGUAUGUAUAAAUAUAUAUAGUCACGUAUCAUUUAACUUCAGAGAUACAUUCUAAAAAUGCAUUCUCAGACAAUUCUGUCAAUGUAGAAACAUCAUGCAGUUUACUCAGAAAACUACACAAUUUUACCUCCUACAUACCUCAUAUAUGCAAUCUUAUAUGUGGUAUGUCAUUGACUGAGAUGUUAUGUGGCCAGUGAGUGUGAUAUGUUGUACAAUGUGUAAUUUUGUUCUUAAGUAGUGUUUAUUAUAUACAACUAUGUAAUAAUACAUGUUACUAAAAUACAUGUACAGAAUGUUCUCAAUAUCAUUGAUAGUUUCUUAAGAACUGUGACUUGAAGCAAAAUGCUGUAUGACAUAGGAACUUUAUUUUUGUAUGUCAAUCAGCCUGUGGCAAAAUUCACUUUAUAGUACACCGUUUGACUUAAAGUCACAGUUUUCAAGAAUCUGUCAACAAUAUUAAGUGACAAUUUUCUCUAGUUAGUGUUGUGAUAAAUAGUAUAUUACAGCAUUAUAGUACUAUUCUAUGUUACUGUAAUCUUUACAGUUGGUAGUAUGACAUGAUUCAGUUCCUAGCCAGCCCACAGAGGUAAACCAGUCACAUCUUCCUUUGAGAAUCAAGGAAUAUCUCACCUUCUUGAUACUACAAAGCCUUCCCCUAACACCCUAUGUUUAUUCUCUUUGCUUUGAAGUGCAGUCCCUGGGUGGACCUGCAAAGCUUAUAAUACUUUUCUCCUUUUGACUGAGUAUAUGUAACUAAUAAACUGUUGUUAAUCUUAUCUGUCUAGUAAUGGAUGUCAUGGGCUUGACUGUCCCACUGGCACUAAGGUGCUAAUUCCUCCCUUAACAAUGAGUAGGCUACUGAAAUAAUUGACAACACAAAAAGAGUGGACCAAAAAUGACUGAGGAUGUCUUUUCAACUUUAACUAACUGCUCUUGGGUUACUGGUUCUAUUAUACACUGAAAGUCACCUGGUUCAGAGCCACCAAUUGGUGAGCUUUUGUUUGGUCUGCACAGGAGUUUAUGACCUUUAUCAGGAGUUGCUGUCUUUAUCCACACUAAAGGACUCUCAUCUGUAGAUUGCUUUGAGUAGUAUAAACAUUUUAACAAUAUUGAUUAUUUCAAUCCAUCAACAUAAAAUAUUGUACUUUUCUUGUAUUGUCUUUAAUUUCUUUCAUCAGUGUUUUAUAGUGUUUAUUGUAAAGAUCUUUUACUUUUUUGGUUAACUUCAUUCUGGGGUAUCAAAAUUGGUUCAUGUCUACUGUAAAUGGAAUUUAUUUUUAAAUUUCAUGUUCAGCUUGUUCACUGUUGACAUGUAGAAAUGCUACUGAUUUUUUAUGUUGAUUUUGUGUCCUGCAACUUUACUGAAUUUGUUUAUCAGUUUUAAUAGUUUAUUGGCGAAGUAUUUAGGUCUUUCCACAUAUAAAUUCAUAUCAUCUGCAAACAAGGAUAAUUUUUUUUUCUAUCUAAUUUGGAUGCCCUUUAUUUCUUCCUUUUAUCUGAUUGUCCUAGUUAGGACUUCCAGCGCUGUAUUGAAUAAACUGUGGCAAAAGUGGGCUUUUUUAAUGUUACUAGAUCUCAGAAUAAAAGAUUUUAGCAUUUUAUUUUCCAAUAUUAUACUAGUUUUGGGUCUGUCAUAUAUGGCUUUUAUUAUGUUGAAGUAUGUUCUCUUUAUAUCCAGUUUCUUGAGGGUUUUUAAAAAAUGAAAACAUGUCAAUUUUUAUCAAACCCUUAUUAACAUUAAAUAAAAUGAUCAUAUAAUUUU